AACGAACGCUGGCGGCAUGCCUAACACAUGCAAGUCGAACGCUAACAAGAAGAACUUGGUCUCCUUGCAUAAGAUGCGAACACGUGAGAAACACGUCUGGAACCCGGCCUGAAGCAGGGGAAUACCAUCGGAAACCAUAACUUAUACCCCAUAACCAUGGAUGACACAUGUAAUUUAACCUACAGGCCUCAUUGCUCCACUACAACAUGGACCUGAUUAGUAUUAACUAGUAGGUGAGGCUAUGCCUCACCUAGAUCACUAUACGUACUCAACCUGAGACCGUGAUCGCUCACACUGAGACUGAGACCCGACCCCUACUCCUACGGGAGGCAGCAAAUAGGAAUCUUCGGCAAUGGGGCCGACCCUGACCGAGCAACGCCUCGAGAAUGAACAAGGUUUUCGGAUCACAAAGCUCUGUUGAAAGUCAAAAACGGGUGUGAGAGUGGAAAGUUCACACUGUGACGGUAGCUUACCACAAAGGGACUGCUAACUACGUGCCAGCAGCCGCGGUAAUACGUAGGUCCCGAGCGUUGUCCGGAUUUAUUGGGCGUAAAGCGAGCGCAGGCGGUUUGAUAAGUCUGAAGUUAAAGGCUGUGGCUCAACCAUAGUUCGCUUUGGAAACUGUCAAACUUGAGUGCAGAAGGGGAGAGUGGAAUUCCAUGUGUAGCGGUGAAAUGCGUAGAUAUAUGGAGGAACCCCGGUGGCGAAAGCGGCUCUCUGGUCUGUAACUGACGCUGAGGCUCGAAAGCCUGGGGAGCAAACAGGAUUAGAUACCCUGGUAGUCCCCCCCCUAAACGAUGUGGACUAGGAGGUGGUAUGCUUUUCAGGAUUGACUGCCGCAGCUAACGCAUUAAGUACUCCGCCUGGGGAGUACGACCGCAAGGUUGAAACUCAAAUGAAUUGACGGGGGCCCGCACAAGCGGUGGAGCAUGUGGUUUAAUUCGAAGCAACGCGAAGAACCUUACCUGGUCUUGACAUCCCCAUGCUAUUUCUAAAAAUAGAAAGUUACUUCGGUACCUCUGAGACAGGUGCUGCAUGGUUGUCGUCAGCUCGUGUCGUGAGAUGUUGGGUUAAGUCCCGCAACGAGCGCAACCCCUAUUGUUAGUUGCCAUCAUUCCGGCCGGGCACUCAAGGGAGACUGCCAGUGAUAAACCGGAGGAAGGUGGGGAUGACGUCAAGUCAUCAUGCCCCUUAUGACCAGGGCUACACACGUGCUACAAUGGUGCGUACAAAGAGAAGCGACCUCGCGAGAGCGAGCGGACCUCUUAAAGCCAGUCUCAGUCCGGAUUGGAGUCUGCAACUCGCCUCCAUGAAGUCGGAAUCGCUAGUAAUCGCGGAUCAGCACGCCGCGGUGAAUACGUUCCCGGGCCU
rnacentral:rRNA from 1 species